UACGAAGGGUGCAAGCGUUAGUCGGAAUUACUGGGCGUAAAGCGUGCGUAGGCGGUUUCUUAAGUCUGCUGUGAAAGCCCCGGGCUCAACCUGGGAAUGGCGGUGGAUACUGAGGAGCUGGAGUACGGUAGAGGAAGGUGGAAUUCCCGGUGUAGCGGUGAAAUGCGUAGAGAUCGGGAGGAACAUCAGUGGCGAAGGCGGCCUUCUGGACCAGUACUGACGCUGAGGCACGAAAGCGUGGGGAGCAAACAGG
rnacentral:rRNA from 1 species